CAGUCGCCGCGGUAAUACGUAGGUGGCAAGCGUUGUCCGGAAUUAUUGGGCGUGAAGGGCUCGCAGGCGGUUUCUUAGGUCUGAUGUGAAAGCCCCCGGCUCAACCGGGGAGGGUCAUUGGAAACUGGGAAACUUGAGUGCAGAAGAGGAGAGUGGAAUUCCACGUGUAGCGGUGAAAUGCGUAGAGAUGUGGAGGAACACCAGUGGCGAAGGCGACUCUCUGGUCUGUAACUGACGCUGAGGAGCGAAAGCGUGGGGAGCGAACAGGAUUAGAUACCCCAGUAGUCCCUGUCUCUUAUAC
rnacentral:rRNA from 1 species